GAUGAAGAACGUAGCGAAAUGCGAUAAGUAGUGUGAAUUGCAGAAUUCAGUGAAUCAUCGAAUCUUUGAACGCACAUUGCGCCCUUUGGUAUUCCUUAGGGCAUGCCUGUUCGAGCGUCAUUUAAACCUUCAAGCUCAGCUUGGUGUUGGGUGACUGUCCGCUUCACCGCGGACUCGCCUCAAAAUUAUUGGCGGCCGGUACAUUGGCUUCGAGCGCAGCAGAAACGCGAACUCGGGCCCGUCGUAUUGGCUCCCAGAAGCUAUCUUCACAAUUUUGACCUCGGAUCAGGUAGGGAUACCCGCUGAACCUAAGCAUAUCAAUAAGCGGAGGA
rnacentral:misc_RNA from 1 species